rnacentral:misc_RNA from 1 species
GAUGAAGAACGCAGCGAAACGCGAUAGGUAAUGUGAAUUGCAGAAUUCAGUGAAUCAUCGAAUCUUUGAACGCACAUUGCGCCCCUUGGUAUUCCGAGGGGCAUGCCUGUUCGAGCGUCAUUACACCACUCAAGCACUGCUUGGUAUUGGGCAUCGUCCGUCGAAAGGCGGGCGUGCCUCGAAGACCUCGGCGGGGUUUCUCCAACUUCGGGCGUAGUAGAGUUAAAUCGAACGUCUUAUAAGCUUGGUGGGACUCCAUUGCCGUUAAACCUUUUAUUUUCUAGGUUGACCUCGGAUCAGGUAGGGAUACCCGCUGAACUUAAGCAUAUCAAUAAGCGGAGGA